UAAACUAGGGAUUAGAUACCCUAUUAUUUAAAAUAAAUACAUUAUUUAAAGUAGUAUUAGUUAAGAUCUUGAAACUUAAAAAAUUUGGCGGUAUUUUAGUCUAUUCAGAGGAGCCUGUUUUAUAAUCGAUAAUCCGCGAUGAACCUUACUUAAAUUAGUUAUCAGUUUAUAUACCGUUGUUAUAGAAUAUUUUAUAAGAAUAAUAAUUUUCAAUAUAUUAAAUAUAAUUAUAUAUCAAAUCAAGGUGUAGCUAAUAUUUAAGAAAAAAUGGGCUACAAUAAUAGUAAUUAAAUGAAUAUAAAUAUGAAAAAUUUAUUGAAAGUGGAUUUGAUAGUAAAUAUAUAAAGAUUAAUAUAUUGAUUAUAGCUCUAAAAUAUGUACACAUCGC
rnacentral:rRNA from 1 species